GCUGGGGGUCGGCGUGGCGGCCGGUCACCUUCGUUGGGAUCUUGUCGUCUGUAGAUCUAAAGUUUUAAUGUUUUAUUCAUGCGUCUAAAGUUUUGAUGUAACAGAAAAUCUAGAAAUUUUUUGGGAACUAAAUAGAACAAGUGGAGGAGAAGGCAUAUAAAUUGAUAUACAAAAUGAUAUACAUAACUGAUCUUGAUUACAAAUUCACACUUUC
rnacentral:lncRNA from 1 species